CCUGCUUCCAGGAAAAGCCUCUAAGCUUCAGUCAUAGAGUGACCGUACCGCAAACCGACACAGGUGGGCUGGUAGAGAAUACCAAGGCGCUUGAGAGAACUCAGGAGAAGGAACUCGGCAAAUUGAUACCGUAACUUCGGGAGAAGGUAUGCCCCGUUAGCUUGUAGGAGUACAUCCGAAGGGCGAAGGGGCCGCAGAGAAUCGGUGGCUGCGACUGUUUAUUAAAAACACAGCACUGUGGAAACACGAAAGUGGACGUAUACGGUGUGACGCCUGCCCGGUGCCGGAAGGUUAAGUGAUGGGGUGCAAGCUCUUGAUCGAAGCCCCGGUAAACGGCGGCCGUAACAAUAACGGUCCUAAGGUAGCGAAAUUCCUUGUCGGGUAAGUUCCGACCUGCACGAAUGGCGUAACGAUGGCCACACUGUCUCCUCCUGAGACUCAGCGAAGUUGAAAUGUUUGUGAAGAUGCAAUCUACCCGCGGCUAGACGGAAAGACCCCAUGAACCUUUACUGUAGCUUUGCAUUGGACUUUGACGGGAUUUGUGUAGGAUAGGUGGGAGGCUAUGAAACCAGGACGCUAGUUCGGGUGGAGCCAACCUUGAAAUACCACCCUGGUGUCGUCGAGGUUCUAACCCAGGUCUGUGAAUCCAGAUCGGGGACCGUGCAUGGUGGGCAGUUUGACUGGGGCGGUCUCCUCCUAAAGCGUAACGGAGGAGUACGAAGGUCACCUAGGUACGGUCGGACAUCGUACUGAUAGUGCAAUGGCAAAAGGUGGCUUGACUGCGAGACCCACAAGUCGAGCAGGUGCGAAAGCAGGUCAUAGUGAUCCGGUGGUUCUGUAUGGAAGGGCCAUCGCUCAACGGAUAAAAGGUACUCUGGGGAUAACAGGCUGAUUCCGCCCAAGAGUUCACAUCGACGGCGGAGUUUGGCACCUCGAUGUCGGCUCAUCACAUCCUGGGGCUGUAGCCGGUCCCAAGGGUAUGGCUGUUCGCCAUUUAAAGUGGUACGUGAGCUGGGUUUAAAACGUCGUGAGACAGUUUGGUCCCUAUCUGCCGUGGGCGCUGGAAGUUUGAGAGGGCUUGCUCCUAGUACGAGAGGACCGGAGUGAACGCACCCCUGGUGUACCGGUUGUGACGCCAGUCGCAUCGCCGGGUAGCUAUGUGCGGAAGAGAUAACCGCUGAAAGCAUCUAAGCGGGAAACUCGCCUCAAGAUGAGACUUCCCCGGGGCCUCGAGCCCCCUGAAGGGUCGUUGAAGACCACAACGUUGAUAGGUCGGGUGUGGAAGCGUGGCAACACGUUAAGCUAACCGAUACUAAUUGCCCGUGUGGCUUGAUCC
rnacentral:rRNA from 1 species